rnacentral:rRNA from 1 species
GAUCCUACGGGACGCAGCAGUGGGGAACAUUGCACAAUGGGGGAAACCCUGAUGCAGCGACGCCGCGUGAGUGAAGAAGUAUUUCGGUAUGUAAAGCUCUAUCAGCAGGAACGAGACAAGACGGUACCUGACUAAGAAGCCCCGGCUAACUACGUGCCAGCAGCCGCGGUAAUACGUAGGGGGCAAGCGUUAUCCGGAAUUACUGGGUGUAAAGAGAGCGUAGACGGCUGUGCAAGUCUGGAGUGAAAGGCGGGGGCCCAACCCCCGG